AAAAAACUCUGUACAAUUGAUACCGAUGAAGCAUUGUGCAGAG
rnacentral:ncRNA from 1 species